rnacentral:rRNA from 1 species
GAUAAGUAAUGUGAAUUGCAGAUUUCAGUGAAUCAUCGAAUCUUUGAACGCACCUUGCGCUCCUUGGUAUUCCGAGGAGCAUGCCUGUUUGAGUGUCAU